AUGGACAAAGAAACAAACCCAUUUCUGCCCUGCAGAGAAACACCCCGAGGAAAUGGAAGAACAGGAAGGACAGAAGCGUGCAAGAGGGAAAGAAAGGAAGUACGAUUGUUUCCUGGAGCAUUAAUGGAUGAAUGGGAAUCCAGCCGGGAUCCAAAUGUGGCGACGCGGCUCUCCGCGGGGCCCUUAGGGGUCAAGUCCUUUCUUUCUUUCCUGCCCCCUCAGAGGAAACCUGCGUCUGCAAACCUGCGAGGGAGAAAGUCUGGGAGCCGGUGGCCGAAGCGGAUGGGCUGCACGCCCCCGGUGCACCUCGGUGACAGAUGUAAUGUGCUGCGAACAACAGGCCCGUGACAACAACUCCCCCGAAUAACAGCCAUUUAAAUGGUGGGGGCAAUAAUCCCCCCUGCCUCCCCCGUCUAGUGACACCCACACCGGCACACUGGGGGAUUUAUCGGCGUGUCGCUCGGCCUCGACCGCGCAGACGCCCGUCCACAGCUGAUCGGAGCCUGAAGAAUACGGGGGGGGGGGUCCGAGCGGAUAAAUGGAGAAUACAUUGUGCCACUCCUGACGUGAAUGGAGGUCAUGAUCAUGUACGGAAGCAUGAAACCUCCCCACAUCCUACAUGACACCUGUGUCGGCUUCACUGUCGGUAGACGCUGCAUCUCUGACGCCUGCUCUGUUAUAUUUAAAUGUAUAUAAUUUGUCUUAUUCUUUUAUAGUGUUCCUGCUGCGGCCUCUGUCACCACAUGAUACAAUGAGCACAUUAUUUUCUUUAAAAACACUAACAAUUAAAAAUGUCCAAAAUAUUAACCAGACUAAAAUGCCAGUUUGAGAAAACUUUAACGAAAUCUGUCAGAGAUCGAACAUCUUGAUAUUGUCACCGCCGCAAAAUUCUGUAAAACACUGUAAUAAUCCUAAAGUUUGUAACGGCACAAAAAACACCACAUGCCGGGAUGAAAAAGAGCAUUUGUGAAAUGUAAAAAUUCCCGAUUGAACUACUUUGGUUUGAAGGCGCCCACCCCCCCCCCACUGGUUGGCUGGGAGCCAAAACGCAGUCAGUUCCAUCGCUGGCCCUUAAUGCCUCUGAUUUUAUUUAGGGUUCUUUGAAUCCGGCAGCUCAGCAGGAAAUCCUCCAUCGCUCACCCCCCAAACUGGUUCCUUUAUUUAUCAGGAAACACAAGAUCAAGCUUAACCUGAAAGAGGUUUUAUCAAAUAAAAAUCAGCAGCUUCAUUACAACAUUAACUUUAACGAACAUCUAUUUAUAUGAGAUUUAUGCAUUUUCUUGUGAAAUUAAAAUACAAUGUUCAGUCCAGGCUGGUUGGAUUGUGUCAAGAAGCAAGAAGCAUCACUGAGCAGCUCGUCACACACAAACACACAAGCUCCAGUUCCAUGUUCCAUGCAAAAUAAUCUCAACUAUGAGGGGAAUUAAAACCAAAAUAAACUGCAAAAUAAAGCAACCAUUGAGCCAAAAGAAAAAACAUUAGCUCGACAAAGUUUUUUCAAAAGACUAAAUCAGGAGAAAAAAAUGUGUUCGAACCACUGAAACACAUUUUUUAGUCCAACACUCCACUGAGCAGGAUUUAUAAAAGCGACUCUGUCCGCUGAUUAUUGGUUUUACUGCCUGAUAAUCUGAUUAAACGUUAUAGCGCCUGUUCUUUUCCUGCCAUUUUAAAUUGUCUUCGAGCGUGUCUCGACACAGACUGAAGCCCCAACCAGAAAAUCAAGAUGACAAAUCUAUUUUAUUUUUUCGGGGGGGGGGGGGGGCUUUUGGAUUCAACAAAGCUGCAGCAAAAAAAGGAAAAGACGAAUCCCAAAUAAACGACGACGAGCCGAGACGAUGAAACACCCAAGAUCCACUAAGUGAUCCACAGUCCUGUUACUGCGUGAUCUCGUCACGGUCUCAAUAGAUACACUUAUUUAGAAAAUGUUAAGAAUUGAAUAUCAACCAUCUCAUUUCUGGAUCGGUAAGCAGAAAAAAUGGUUUGGUUGUAAAUAAUAAAAAACAUGACAUCCAAUUUAAUUUCAUGCCAGUCCUGGUCAUGAAAUACAUGUAAAAUAAUUGUUUUAAAAAAUGUGUAUGUAAUAUAAAAUAAAAUAAAAAUGUAUAUAUUUUUAAAUACAAAUCAAAGAGAAUCCAUUCAUAAUUUAAAUAUAUUUGUGUCCAUGUGCUGUGGUUAAUUCAGGAGAUUAAGACGAUAAUUCCGACAAGAGGAAGCCAAAUUCUGCAGCCAGAAUCUCCAUGAGGUCACACCCCAAAAAAGCUCUUAAAUCCCCUUUACUCCUAACCUCUGACCCCAGACACAACACUGAAGCAGAGCAAAAUGUUACAUUUUUUAAAAAGAUGAAAUUAGGUCGAAUUUAAGUUACGAACGGAUAAAUAUGCAAAGAGGUUUUAUUUAAAUUCGGGGAUUUGGGGACGGGAAAUAAAUCCAAAAUCAUUUAGUUAACACUCUCGCCAGAGGUGAGGAAUAACAUUUUCAGCCCGAUGCAGUCACCUCAGGCCACCUCUGACACGAACCUUCUGGCUUUACUGUUAGUAUUUCUGCAGACACAUAUUUAGAGUCAGGCCUGCAGGUUCCUGAGGCCUGGACAGCAGCAGGAAGGAAGCGAUUGAUUAUCAAAUCCACACUGCCGAAGAAAAGACUAGAAAAGGUUUGCAGGGUGGACUGAGACUCCUGCAGAGCCUUUCAUGCUCCUUGUUUGUACAGUGAGCCGUCCACACAUGCAUUAAAAACACGAAACAUUUGUUCACUAGAAACAACAUGUCUCAUGAACCACAGCAUUGGUUUGGGGCUGAAGACAGCAUAAACGAACAGAGACUUCACACGUCCAGAUUAUUGUGCGCUAAUAUAUAGCAUUCAAACUUUACGGUAAAAAGUCCCGCACGAACAAGCGACAUUCCCGUAAAACUCCGCACCGGAGCUCCGGUCAAGGCUGAGCCGCGCAAGCGGGACCCAGUAGCGGGGGGGGGGGGAGGGGGGAGAGGAGCGGCCGGUACGCGGACUGCAUGGAGGCGUCCACACGGGACCAUACAGGGGUCUAUAGAGAGAGAGAGAGCCCGGCUGCAAAGCAACAACACCGCUAUGAGAAUUGAAAGUAAAAGUUUGAAGGGCGCACUUACCUGUGUCAAACAUAGCGGAGAAUACAUAUCUGUCGGAUCUAAUCUUAGAUCUGGAAGAGCUUUGUGUACGUGUGUGUUUGUGGGGGGCGAGGGGGGGG
ensembl:lncRNA